rnacentral:lncRNA from 10 species
AUAUUAUAUACCUCUAAGAAGGAAAAAACACUCAGGACAGGGAGUUUAGUAGGAGACAUGACCCACAAGGCUGGUACACCUAAGGAUAAAUGAGAAAUUAACUUGACCUUCCAGGAAAGGGACCAUAAAGAAACGUGCAAGUCUCAACCUUGACACUAAAUAGAGAAAGGAAAAAAACAUUUCUCUGAGAAUUUGAACCACAAGCCCUAAGCUUUGAGUGUGCAGCCUUACCACCAGUGUGGUCCACAAAGGCCUGCCACAAAGGAUUAAUUCAGAUGGUAUCAGGCUGAUAGUGUUCCCAGACGACAGCAGAAGCAGAUGCACAUCUUCUCUGGGAAAAUUCACCUCUAGUCUAGACCUAUGAACCUACUGGGUUGGUGACAUUUACAAGACAGAGUCUUGAAGAUUUUCCAGAAUGGGAAAG